GUCUCCGCGCGACGACGACAGCAGCAAAAAAGCAUUCUCCAUCUUAAGUUUUCUUCGCGGUGUAUCGGGACAGUGAAGUGCAGUGCAGAUAAUCUCAUCAAAAUCUGCUAUUCCGGAUCAGAAAGUCUAUCAAUCCGUGUGUAUUAUCGUCGUGAAGUGUUGUGUUUCCAUAUUCCGGUAUUGAAAGAGUGCAAUCAAGCUGUUCCGCGACAGGGUGUAAGAAAAUUGCGGGCGCCAAAAUCGCUGCAGAAUUUAUUGUGUGCGGAGACGAAGGCAGCCGUAGGAGAAAAAACAAGCUACCAAAAGUGGAAGAAUAAUCGGUUUUUCUCGCUGCCCUGGAUUAUAAGGUGGAGCUAUUCGCGAUCCCCGGGAAGUGGCGGACGCCAAGAAAACAGAAAACAACAGAAUCAUCCGUCAUCUGAAUCAAUUUACCCAAUGAAAAGGAAAAUACCCUUCUGGAUGUCGCAGCAAAAUGGCCACAGCCGUCGAGGAGCCUGAUUUGUUCAACGGACUGGAGAUCACUGAAAUGGACGAGAUAAACAUGGAUAAUGGCGACGAGUACGUCUUCAUUCCGUCGGACAACGAAAAUGAGGAUGAAAACGGAUCCGGCAGCCAUGUCUCGUUGAUCAGUCAGUCGGUGUUCAAUCCGACAGUGGCUUCCGGUGUGACCCUACCGGUGGUAAGUACGGUUAAGGAAGUCAAAACAAUCGAAACGGUUCAAGGUGUUCCAGGCGUUGGACUGAUGGAUACGGAAAGCGAUCAGCUCCUGGUUGGCAUUGGCCUAGAUAGUGCGUUGGUGAGAACUGCCAGCGAAGCGCGCGUUAAGGAUGGAGAAAUGAUCAUAGUGAAAAGAAUAGAUCUUACAGAGGAAGAUGAAACAGUCAAAGAGCAAGAUGAUCAGAGAUUCACAGUUAGUUAUGAUUUCAACUUAGACAUGCAACAACUGCUCAACAUUGAACAGGCGGAAGAGAUGUCGGCGGAGGUUACUAUUAAGGAAGAAAUGGAUAUUGAAGAAGCGGUAGUAAAUCUACCUGACGACGAGGAGACUGGUUUCUCCGAACAGUUAGGAUCUCAGUUGGAUUUGGUUGAUCAUGAUGAGCACAUUGUAGGUAGCGAAGUGAUCACGCUGGAUUCAGAUGCAGCGGAAAGCGAGAACGAAGAAGACUGCGUCAUGAUGUCAUUGUUGGAACAGUGGCCCAUAUCGAUUAAGGAAGAAGGACCGGAUGAGGACAGAACUCCAGUAGAAAAUGACCAUGCCUAUACUUCUCAACCGUUGGAAGAUCAAACAGUUCCAGAUGCGGCAAAUGUAGCAAAACCAGAUGCUACAAUACAAGCGUUAGUGGACAUUUCCAAAAGAUUUCUUGAAGAAGUUGGCCCUUCUCGUACUGACUUGGACGAAACUUUGAAAAGCAUAGCUAGCAUAGAAGAACAGCUAAAAUCCCUUAAGGAUAAGCUUCUUCAAAUUGAGAAACCAUCUGACGCAACUAAAGAAGGAACAGUUGAAUCACCACUACCUCCACUUGAGGAGCCUACCAAUGCGCAUCCUUCGCGAAAGGAAUCCAGCGAAAUGGAUGCUCUUUCGGUGGAACUAUCGGAAAAUUGCUCCGAAAGGCUAGAGUGUAGUUCUGUCAGUGAUCUUCCUCUAUUCUGCUCGGACGUCGGAGAGAAGGGAAGCGAAAUUGUAGGCCAGGAAGCUGCAGAAACUAAUUCUGCAACUGCAACCGCAAUCGACGAUACGGAAGAGCAGUUAGAGAAGAAAUCCACUUCAAAUUUGUCCAAGAUUCUGUCGCAAAAUGCCUCGGAACCGUUGGAGCAUGAAAGUGAACAGGCGAUGGAGUCGGAUGAACCAAUAGGCACGAAUGAGGAACCGUGUUCAAUGGAGAAUGAACAAGAAGCAAUGGCAAAUCUACAGCAAGUAUUGGGAGAAGCAAUUGAGGAAGUCAGGAAAGAGGCAGAAGAAUUUCAGCAAGCGGAGGAUGUUGCGCCUGCAAGUGCAAAAGGAGUAACAAAUCAAGAAGGUUUGAAAAUAGAAAGUUUGGAAGAUCUCAUCGCAUAUGGUGAAAUGUUCACCAAAGAAUGCGGAAACUGGUUGGACAAAAUUAACAGCAACUGUCGGCGAUCAGAAGAGGAAGAAGGAGUCGUUAAGGAAUCAUCCCAAGCAAACAAGGAACAAUUUUUAAAAGCGGAACGCUUUAUGGGUUCUCUGACGAAGGAUGUGCAGAGGUUAGCUUUGAAAGUUUCUUCCAAGGAGAAAAGCCGUCCUGAUCGGGUAGAAGUAUCCGUACAAACAGAAAAAAUCCAGCGUACCGGCGCCAGUGCGAAAACCCUGAAUGAGAAAUACAAAAAGCGUUUACUCAGCUCGCUGGGUGAAACAGAAGUAGCGGAGCAAGGCUUAUCGGACAGUGACGGCGAAUCGUACGUUUCGAACGAUGGGAGCACUAGAUCGAGUGAUGCGGGCGAUUCAGACGUUUACGACGACGCUGACGAUGAUGAAGAUGAAGCAGCAUUCGAGAGGCGACAGAAUCGAAGAAAAUCGAAACGUUUGAGGCAGCAACUAGUGAAGGAAAAUGAAACACCGAACCAGGAUGGAUCGGACGAAGACGAGGUACAGCCGAGUAAAAAGAGAAAUGCUCGGAGGUUGGGUAGCACUGAUUCCUCGCAUGAUAAAGCAGACAGCCCAUCUAAAUCGUCUACUGUCGCUACGCUAGAUGACAGUGAAGAAAUUGCUGUAAAGAAUGAGCCUUACGUGGAGAUUGACUCUGAAUCACCGAGUAAUAAGAGUGUCAUCCACAGGCUACAUAAUGGCGAUGACUCUGUCGAGGCAAUGGACGAAGAUGCUACACCAAUUAAACGGGAAUCGUCAAUCAAUUUAACACCAUCGCAGAGCCAAAGUGAAACAAUUCCAGAGAAGCUAGCAGAAGAGAAUGAUGAAUCAAGUAAGGAGCGUCGUGAAGAUGAUGGUGAUGAGCAGUCAGAUAGUGAGUUGCUUGAUGAUGUACUAGGACAGGUGGACGAUAUUCUUUUGGAUGUUAAUGAUAUUCUUCCUGCAGCGGAAGGGGUAGUGCAGGACUUUUUAGUAGAGGAAGAGGUGAGAACCGAACAGGAAGAGGAACGUAGAGAGCCGAAACGAGAGGAAAUCAAGAGGAAGCCAAAGAGCAGUGGGAAGAAGAUCGAUAGCGAAGAGGAAGAUGAGGUGGAAUCCGAUCUGGAAGAGAAGGAAAAGGAAAAGACACUUGAUGAUAUGACGGAAUCGGAACUUGAAGAAUACUACGAUAACCAGAGGGAAAAGGAAAUCGACAAAUUGUGUAACUUGGCUAACCUGGAGGUGGCGAGAAAUGCGUACCCGCAGAAGCCUCAGGAGGUGAAAAAGAAACCAGUGGUAGUUAAGAAAAAGGAACGUGUUAUAGAUGACAUUUUGAACGAAGUUGAAUUACACCACGAAUCCGACGACAGUGACUCUGAUACGGAGGUUUUGGAGACAGAAGAGCUGUUCCUACAAAAGUGCAAUGAAAACAUGAAGAAUCAACUGCUGAAUCAGCUGAGUAGUAGCGACACGGAACGGGACUCGGGCAGUGAGGACAGUGUGGUAGAAGCUCUUAAACAGGAAGGAGAGUAUGAUUCGGAUGACUCGGCGGGUUCGAUCUUGAUGGAGAAAUUUCUAAAAAGCUUGGACAAAAAUCAUGAUGUGAGUGGCGAUGAAGAUGCUAAAGAUGGAGAGAUCCAUCAAGAGGACGAAAAAAUAGACGAUGAUAUGGACUCUUCCGUGCAAACCGAAACUAUCGAAGCUGACAAAAUUGGAAAGAGUGAAAAAGAUUUUAUCGAUGAUUCGGAUAUACCUGAAGUUGAUAACGAAGAGGCAAUGGAAAAGAUGAAAAAUCAUCUCAACAAUAUCGAACAAAAGAAACCUGAUCAUGUCAAGGAAAUCAAGGAAAAGGAAAAACCAAAGGAUGGUCCGGCCAGCGUCAGUAAAACAACUGCAAUAGAUCCAAUCGAUAAGCAAUUGUUUAGUAAGAAGAUGUUCCGAGAGGUGGACGAAACGCUACGAAAAGAUCGUGAGCAAGACGUAUUCGACAAGGAGAACGGUUCUCUAGCGGAUCGUUCCGAACGAAUCGGUAGCGACGACUCGGACGUGGAACUGCUGGAUGUUUCCAUGUUUCAGCCAAAACGUAAAAUGAAAGAGCGAAAGCUAGAGGACUUUGAUUUCAGUGCCAAUACCAAGCGUUCAACGCAACAAACGAAACGUGGGAAUCCGAAAGAAGGCGACUGCAUCAGCCUUAGUUCGGAGAGCGAAGCUGAAGUCGAGGAGACUACUACUACUACUACUACUACUGAGACUGACGAAAAGGAAAACAAGCAACGGAAGAUCCGAACGAUGUUGACUCAAGAUCAGCUGGCUGAUGAAACGAAAACGGCUCAGAAAGACGAGGAAAUACGACUUUCUCGGUUGAAGAAAAAGAAUGAAAACCUGAAAAAGUUCUUGACGACAUUCAAACCGGGACCGGAAGAGAGCAAUCUCGUGUUGGAUUACGAUGCCAAAGUGAACAAAGCGAUUUGCGUUCAUCCGGAAAUAGUGAAACUACUGAAACCGCAUCAAAAGGAAGGUAUUCGCUUCAUGUAUGACAAUACAUAUGGUAGUGUGGAAUAUAUCAACAAGAAUCCAGGCUCCGGAUGUAUUCUCGCUCAUUGUAUGGGUCUGGGAAAGACACUGCAGUUGAUCACACUACUACACACCGUGAUGCGCUAUCCGCAGCUUAGAACGAAAAGAGUACUCGUAAUUUGCCCGAAAAGUACAGUGAUGAACUGGAGCGAUGAAAUUCAGCAAUGGUUAGGAUCGUUGAAGAGUGGCCCUCGUUUAAAGGUAUUCUACUUCCCGGAUAACAGUGACGUCAACGACAAGCUGAAAGUUCUCAGCGAUUGGUACUCCUCUACGGCGAGCCGCUGUGGUUGUAUGCUCAUCGGGUACGAGGCAUUCCGAAUUUUGGUAAACUACGAGAAACGCAAGCGAACGCCGUCCAACAUCCUAGCUGCUAAGGCCGCCUUUGUGAAGAAGAGGGUGGACGAGUAUCUACUGAAUCCGGGUGCUGACCUCGUUAUCUGCGACGAAGGGCAUCAGAUCAAAAAUAAGAAAUCAGCCAUCAGUGGUGCCGUUUCGCAAAUCAAGACGAAACGACGGAUUGUUCUGACGGGUACACCCAUCCAGAAUAAUUUGAAAGAAUACUACUGCAUGGUAAACUUCAUCAAACCGUCGUUCUUGGGCAGCGACCGAGAGUUCAGCAAUCUCUAUGGUAAUCCGAUAAAAAAUGGCCAACAUAAAGAUUCGGACAGUCGGGCGAUCAAAAUCAUGAAACAGAGGUCGUACGUGUUGCACAAUAAGCUGUCCAGAUUUGUUCAGCGAAGGGAGGCUGGUGUUCUAAAGGAAUUUCUACCGGAAAAGUUUGAGUAUGUGUUGUUCGUUCCACUAACGCCUGUACAAGAAAAAAUGUACGAGGUUUUCCUACAAAUGAAUGAAUAUACAACGUCCACCGGGGAGGCCGGAGAAGCUGCUAAAGGGAAAAAGUUUAAACUUCUCGCUGAUUACACCUCUCUGAGAAAGAUCUGGACGCAUCCCAAAGUACUGGAAAAGGCAUGGGAAACGGCCGUACAGGAGAAAAGUAAACGGGACGCUCGAUUCCGUUUGACAUCGACGCCGGAUUCGGACGAUGAUCGACCGGAUGAUUACAACGACAUCUCGUCGGGUGCUCUCUCCGUUACGAACGACUGGUGGCGAAAGCACUUGGAGGCAAACGACCUGGAAUCUCUGUAUCCGAGCGGCAAGCUGAGGAUAAUGUUCGAGAUCCUGAAGCAGUGCCAUGAGCGAGGGGAAAAGUGCUUGAUCUUCUCCGCUUUCGUGGCGGUGCUAAAUGUGGUUGAGCAUUUCAUGAACAAGAUACACAAUCGACAGAACGAAACGAUGGCCGAUGUGUACGGGUAUAGCACUUUCAAAGGCCCAUGGGAACCCGGUAAAGAUUACUACCGGUUGGAUGGCAAAACACAGAAAAACAUUCGUCAUCGAAUGAUUACGUCAUUCAAUGAUCCUUCCAAUAAGCGAACAAAGUGUUUCCUAAUUUCGGCAAAGGCUGGCGGUCAAGGAAUCAACCUAAUCGGAGCAAAUCGAGUGAUCAUUCUGGAUACGUCGUGGAAUCCCUCCAAUGACCAACAGAACAUCUUCCGGAUAUUCAGGCUGGGUCAGAAGAGGAAGUGCUUUGUCUAUCGAUUACUGGCGAUGGGAACGAUGGAAGAGAAGGUCUAUUCACGAUCAGUGACUAAACAGGCCAUGAGCUUCCGCGUUGUAGACGAGCAGCAGAUCGAUCGGCAUUACAGUUUCUCGGAACUUGCAGAGCUGUACAAUCUAUCUAAACUAGCCGAUCAAGUGCGGGAGACACCAAUACUGCCAGCUGAUGAUUUGUUAGCUUCCCUGUUGAGAAAUCACCCCGAUUGUGCGUUCAAGUAUCACGAACAUGACUCACUAUUGGAGAACAAACCUGAACAAGAUCUGAGCGAGGAAGAUAAGCGAGAGGCUUGGGCGGCCUAUGAACGUGAAAUUCAAAAUAACGAAAAACCUACCUAUCCAGGAGGUAUGGGCAUGCUGCCGAAUUUCAUGAGUUCAAUGUUCCCUGGAGGUCCAGGUGCUGGAAUUGGACCGUAUCCUCCAAUCAACUAUUCGGGACUUCCGGGAACGCUAGCCGAUAUGUAUCGGAGUGAUUUUGGAUAUGGCUCCGGUAUGAACAGACUGAUGUAUCCCUACGGCAGCCCGCCGUUCCCAAUCGUGAACGAUCCAAGCUAUUCAUCGAUCAUGGGGAAAUCUCCGUACCAGAAUUUCAGUCUGCCAGGAUCUUCAAGCAGUUUGCCGGACUUUGGAUUAUCAGCCGCUAUGAACGGUCAAGGGUCAGCGGGAACGACAAACUACAACUCUACGGUUGCUCUGCAGAGUCUAUUGGAUCUGUAUGCCAAAUCUAUGUCCAACGCAAUGAGUUCCAGUACAAUAACGACGGCAGCGGCAACAUCUGUUUCUCCGAGUACAUCGACUUCCGCAGCUGGAGUAUCACCCUAUAAUGCUUUGAGUUCCUUGAAGCAGUUCAAUGGUUUUCCACCAAUAUCUCCCAUCGCUACACCCAUGCCUCAUUCCUCUCCGCAAUUACCCCCUCCGAAAACAUCACAAAGUCCUAGCAGUGCUUCCGGAAAUGCUGCCCUGAUCAAUAUGCUCAAUGAGCAACCUAUGCCAAUGUCAUCCGCUGCGUCAUCUGGACCAUUUUCCCACCUAAACUCUCCCUUACCUGCUCCUUCAAUUCAUAUACCCCGGAAUAUCCCUAGUGCAGUAACGACCACAAGCCCAGCGACCUCCUCGCCAGUAUUAUCCACCUCUUCAACAGCUAAGGCAGUACCUCUCUCCUCUACACCUGCACUAAUCGUGCCGCAACCUCCGCCAAGAGCCAGCGCAUACAAACCACCGGAAUCGUCCAAAAGCAUAAACCCCAAACCAGUACCUCUAACAACUACGAUCGUUGCCAGCGAUGACGACGAUGUCGAUGAUGACGGCAUCCCACGGCCACACAUUAUAGUGCGGGAUCCGUUAUCGAUCAACGCUAGUAGCAGUAAAUCUCAACAAGAUCAGGAGAAAAUAGUCAAAAAGAUCAAUAUGGGUAUCGUUUACCCUGAGGAGAAGAAAAAGGAUCAAUCCAAAGACAUCAUGCUUAGUGCGAAGAGCAUAACAAACCUGGCGAAGCCAACAAUCGCCGUCAAAAAUGUAGAAAGCAUGAAAGCAGUUCCUCCGGUGGGUUCCAAAACUUCUUCGCCUGUGUCUGCAAUGUCAAGACCUGGUUCCUCAGGCAGUAAACCGAUCCGAGCAUCUCCGGUACAAAAUCCUUUGACUACACUUCCGAAACCACACCAAGCAUCUAGGCAGCACCAGCAUCAACACCCACUAAUUCGUACUCCACUGUCAGGCUCAUCCCCAGUUCUCAGCAUUAAGCAAUCUCCUUCUCCAAGGCAACAAGUUCCCGUCAUAACAAGCGCCAAAUCGUUACAGUUGAGUUCUCCCAAUUUAGCGGGAGGAAGUUUCAGUGCACAAACACAAAGAACAUCAACCUCGUCCAAUAAUACUUCCAGUGUAUCUCCAACUCCGAAUUCAACUGUUCCUCGAGGCGUAAUAGCUGCACAGCAAUUACGUGAACUGCAGCAACGAAUGAACCAGGCUGGUGCUAACAACAGCAGUAGUAAUAUUAGUAGUAGCAGUAGUAAUGCCAGCAAUCCCGGUCAUUUGGUAGUGGCUAGAACGAAGAAAGCAGUUUCCCAACUGGUAUCGAGCAAUCAACGACUCGCGGGUGCCAAGCAGCAUGGAGCGCAUCCCAUUGGCAUAUUUGCUUCCCCUCCAGGUACAGUUCUGACUAACCAAAAACAGACAAAGCCAGCCAUUGGUUCUACUACUACUACUACUACUGCUACUACUACUACUAGUGGUAGUAGUAACGCCACGGCCGGAAGGAUGAACAAAUCUCCCCUAUCGGACAGUGUCAGUAUAACGAAAAUCACUAGCGCAGGCCAGCGGAUAGCGAUGAGCAAUCCACCGUUGAUGAGUUCACCCACCACAAAUAUCAAUAAUAACAAUAGUUUGGCCACUAUGAGUCCCACCUUGCUGGGAACGAGUUUGGGUCGAAAACAGGACUUGGUCAUUACAAAAACAACUCCCGGUGCGGCGACCGUACGGAAAGUGAUUCCAGGACCGAAUAUGGUUGUAAAAGCACACAGUGGUCUCACCGCUCCACCGACGAAGCGUAAUUUCCCCUCGAUGACACCAAACUUGAAGAGUGGCGCAACGACCGGAUCGGCUCAGUUGAUCCAAUCCAUAUCCAGCGGCGGCGUCGGAGGUGCAGUAAGCUUACCGGCCGGUAUUACUAGCAACAGCAUAACCGUUCGAAAGCGGAAAGCUACGGAACCGACCCUGAUCGAUAGUCUGAAGGCGAAGAACAAUUCCAUAACGAUCAGCGAGGUUCGGUCAAUUUUUCAACCACCGGUGGCCAAGAAGCCCAAUCAGGGUCUGCCAGUUCAAGCGCAGAAACGGUUCGGAAGCGGUAUAACGAUUACACCGCGGAAGCCCACUCCUCAACAGCAACAGCAAAACAUUCUUGAGGUAGUGGAAAUUGAAUGAGCUCGAAAGCUAUCAACUGACGAUUAUCGGUAGAUAGUGGUUUUUGUUCGAAAAGCACCAACGAAAUGUGGGAGCCAUCAGUGUCAUUUAACAUUACUUGAAACAGGGUUACAACGUUAUUUUUUUUUUAAUUAUUUUGCUUUCAUUAUGAGAAGAAGCUCUGAAUGUAUACCAAUUGAAUGGAAUGUUUGCAAAAAUGUGCUUGAAUGUGUGAAUGUGAAGCACAGGACAGAAAACUCGCUACAAGUAACCAAAAUCAUACAAAACGUAAAAGUAUAGUUUCUAUAAUCCGGGGAAGAUUUAUGUAAUGUGUUUUAAGAAUCGAAUGAGGAAGUCGUGCAUCUAACGAAGAUCCUUCAUGUGUAAGAUAUUUUGACAAGACAAACAAGUGGAGUUUCGGUUAUGUAAAUAUAUGUAAUUAUUAUGUAAUAAACUAUUUAUUUACCCUGGAAAUGUAUGUACACGUAUUUUUAUCGAGAUCAAAGGUAAAAAUAGUAGGAAAACAGCUACACUAAAACGAUAGCUUUUAUUCUGCUUGUUCCACUCUCAAAGGUGAGACUUAAUUUUGUGUACAUAACAGUCACUUUUUAAAAGGCAAUAAUCCACAGUGUACAUUUUGUUAAGUAGCAUUUGUGAUUCUACACAAAAUUCAUGAUAAUAAACCUAAUUUAUCUUGUGAUACGUA